AUUCGCCCCACCGCUGCUGCCAGUUGGAGGCCCCAGCUCUACCGUCUGGGCGCUUCUUAGCAAAAGUGCACGUAGCCACUAAUCAGCCAGCCCGUCAUCGACAGAGAACGUGACGCCCCAUAUACAGGGGAGCGCGACUCCGGCUUAGUGUUCCUGCGCAUACGCUCCAAGCACGCUACCUCGGAGACCCCAGCUUGCUGCGAAGUGACGUGGACAUCGAUAUUGCUAAGCGUCCAGACAGCCCCUCGACUCCAGCAAGCCUGAACAGACCGUCAAGCGCCACCCACUGCUGAGCACGCGCCGCUCACCUGCGCGUUGAACAUCCUUGCGCUGCCGCCAAUCACCACCUCGAAUAUUCACCG
rnacentral:lncRNA from 1 species